rnacentral:rRNA from 1 species
AACCAGAUGAAAAUCUGGCUAAUACCGAAUGUGGUCUUCUGGCACAUGUCAGGAUGACUAAAGGCGGGGAUUCUUCGGAACCUGCCGCUUGAAGAUGCACCCGCGUGCCAUCAGCUUGUUGGUAGGGUAACGGCCUACCAAGGCUUACGGCUAGCCGGCCUGAGAGGGUGACCCCCACACUGGGACUGAGACACUGCCCAGACUCCUACGGGAGGCUGCAGUCGAGGAUCAUUCGCAAUGCGCGAAAGCGUGACGAUGCGACGCUGCGUGGGGGAUGAAGGCCUUCGGGUCGUAAACUCCUGUCAUGAGGGAAAAGUAUCCCUGCAAUUAAUAGUUGCGGGGCUCGAUGGUACCUCAAGAGGAAGCCACGGCUAACUCUGUGCCAGCAGCCGCGGUAAUACAGAGGUGGCGAGCGUUGUUCGGAUUUACUGGGCGUAAAGGGUGCGUAGGUGGUUUUGUGUGUCGGAUGUGAAAGCCCAUGGCUCAACCGUGGAAUUGCAUUCGAAACUGCAGGACUAGAGUGCAGGAUGGGAGAGCGGAAUUUUUGGUGUAGCGGUGAAAUGCGUUGAUAUCAAGAAGAACACCGGUGGCGAAGGCGGCUCUCUGGAAUGCUACUGACACUGAGGCACGAAAGCUGGGGGAGCAAACAGGAUUAGAUACCCUGGUAGUCCCAGCCGUAAACGGUGCACACUUGGUGUGGGGAGAUUUAACCCUCUCCGUGCCGGAGCUAACGCGUUAAGUGUGCCGCCUGGGGAGUACGGCCGCAAGGCUAAAACUCAAAGAAAUUGACGGGGGCCCGCACAAGCGGAGGAGCAUGUGGCUUAAUUCGAUGCAACGCGAAGAACCUUACCAGGGCUUGACAUAUACCUGCAAACCCCGUGAAAGCGGGGAAUCCUUCGAGGGUGGUAUACAGGUGCUGCAUGGCUGUCGUCAGUUCGUGCCGUGAGGUGUUGGGUUAAGUCCCGUAACGAACGCAACCCUUGUGACUAGUUGCCACCGGCGGUGAUGAGCCGUCGAGCACUCUAGUCAGACUGCCCGUACAAGCGGGAGGAAGGUGGGGAUGACGUCAAGUCAGUAUGGCCCUUACGCCCUGGGCUGCACACGUGCUACAAUGGUCGGUACAAUGGGAUGCAAUACCGCGAGGUGGAGCCAAUCCUGAAAGCCGGCCCCAGUUCGGAUUGAAGUCUGCAACUCGACUUCAUGAAG